AUUGAACGCUGGCGGCAUGCCUUACACAUGCAAGUCGAACGGCAGCGGACCUUCGGGUGCCGGCGAGUGGCGAACGGGUGAGUAAUAUAUCGGAACGUACCUUUCAGUGGGGGAUAACGUAGCGAAAGUUACGCUAAUACCGCAUAUUCUGUGAGCAGGAAAGCAGGGGGAUCGCAAGACCUUGCGCUGAUUGAGCGGCCGAUAUCAGAUUAGCUAGUUGGUGAGGUAAAGGCGUCACCAAGGCGACGAUCUGUAGCGGGUCUGAGAGGAUGAUCGCCACACUGGAACUGAGACACGGUCCAGACUCCUACGGGAGGCAGCAGUGGGGAAUUUUGGACAAUGGGCGCAAGCCUGAUCCAGCCAUGCCGCGUGAGUGAAGAAGGCCUGG
rnacentral:rRNA from 1 species